GUUGCUUAUGUCCUUUCAGGGAUGUAUGGCAGUGUCAAUCAACUUGGAGUUGGUAAUGCGAUUCUCAUUGUUGUGCAGCUUUUGUUUUGCUGGAAUAAUUUUGAUAUGUUUAGAUGAACUUCUUCCGAAGAGAUAUGGUCUUGGCUCUGGGAUUUCCUUAUUCAUAGUAGCUACUAAUAUCUGGUAAGACAUUGUUACUUUUGCCAACAAAAUCAUAAAAUAAUUGUAUGCUCCACAAAGCCUUACCAAGAAAAUAUGAUCUACUUUGCAGUGAAAGCAUCAUCUGGGAAGCAUUUAGCCCUACAACAAUUAACAGUGCUCGCGGAGCACAGUUUGAAGGUGCUGUUAUAGCAUUGUUCCAUUUGCUAAUAACUAGGACAGACAAAGUUCGAGCUCUUCGAGAAGCUUUCUACCGGCAGAAUCUUCCAAAUGUGACUAAUCUGCUUGCUACUGUUCUGAUCUUCCUUGUUGUAAUCUACAUCCAAGGAAUCCUUGUGGUUUUGCCUGUGAAGUAGCAUUAUAAUUUUUUUUUAAACCAUAGAUGUUGAUUCUUCAAAAUUUGAACUGCUAUGGGUCAUCAUUGGAAUAGCUUGCUAGUUCUUGUUGUGCAUGGUAUAACACUACAAUUUGGUGAAUCAGGCUUUCAUAAUUUGGCCAAUCUACCUCAGCUUCUCUUAUCAAUUACUCAUCUGCCCGAUACUUAUUCAUAUUUGGUGUUAAUCUGUCAUGCCUUUGAUAAUACCUGUGUGGGAGCAACAAAUGGUGAUGCCGGGCCAUCGUGAUUCUAAUUUACAAAAGGAACUUAUAAAUCGCUACAUACCUACCGCAGCUGCUUUUGGGGGGAUCUGUAUUGGUGCAUUGACAAUAUUAGCAGACUUCAUGGGAGCUAUUGGCUCAGAGACAGGAAUUCUGCUUGCAUUUACAAUCAUCUAUCAGUUCUUUGAAAUAUAUUAGAAGGAGAAAGUCAGUGAACUAGGUUUGUUUUGCUUCUAAG
rnacentral:lncRNA from 1 species